AGCGAACGCUGGCGGCAGGCCUAACACAUGCAAGUCGAACGAACUCUUCGGAGUUAGUGGCGGACGGGUGAGUAACACGUGGGAACGUGCCUUUUGGUUCGGAAUAACUCAGGGAAACUUGUGCUAAUACCGAAUGUGCCCGUCGGGGGAAAGAUUUAUCGCCAUUAGAGCGGCCCGCGUCUGAUUAGCUAGUUGGUGAGGUAACGGCUCACCAAGGCGCCGAUCAUUAGCUGGUCUGAGAGGAUACCCAGCCACACUGGGACUGGGACACGCCCCAGACCCCAACGGGGGCAAGCGUGGGGGAUAUUGCCCCAUUGGGCGAAACCCUGCCCCACCCUUGCCCGGUAAAUGAUAAAGGUUUUAGGUUUUUAAAUUUUUUUCCCCGGGACCCACAUUGGCGGACCCCGGGAAAAAACCCCCGGUAACUUUCGG
rnacentral:rRNA from 1 species